ACAUGGUUGGAGAAUGAAGAUACCUUGCUUGAUUCUUCUGGCGAGAAAAUCAUUUAUGAGAUGAUGAGACCAGAGAGGACUUUGUUGUAUUUGGUUCCUGGAAGGCUGGUUAGGGUGAGGGAUGGUUCAACAGACUGGGGAUGGGGUGUGGU